GAUGAACGCUGGCGGCGUGCCUAAUACAUGCAAGUAGAACGCUGAAGGAAGGAGCUUGCUCUUUCCGGAUGAGUUGCAAACGGGUGAGUAACGCGUAGGUAACCUGCCUGGUAGCGGGGGAUAACUAUUGGAAACGAUAGCUAAUACCGCAUAACAGUAGAUGUUGCAUGAUAACUAUUUGAAAGGGGCAAUUGCUCCACUACCAGAUGGACCUGCGUUGUAUUAGCUAGUUGGUGAGGUAACGGCUCACCAAGGCGACGAUACAUAGCCGACCUAGGAGGGGAUGCAGCCAAACUGGGACGGGAACACGGCCCGGAGGCCUACAGGAGGGAGCAGUAGGGAAUCUUCGGCAAAGGAAGGAAGGCUGAACGAGCAACACCGCGGGAGUGAAUGAGGGUGUCGGGGCGUGAAGAGCAGUUUUGAGAGAAGAACGAAUGUUGGAGUGGAAAGUUCACACUGUGACGGUAUCUGACCAGAAAGGGACGGCUAACUACGUG
rnacentral:rRNA from 1 species